GACACAGUUCACUGUAAUUCUGCUAAAACUGCAAAAUGAUAAAACUACACCUGGGCUUGUUUGGCAAUCGAUCUCCGGCUGUGAACGUUAUGACAGUCGACGUGUUACUGAUUGUCCUGUUUGUAUCAGGUGCUUUGGCUGGUUGUACUGGUGUAGCAGACGACGAUAACUGCACCAAAGAAGCUGGAAGCACUGAGUGGAUCUUGUUUGCAAAUCCCAUGUAGCUUCAGACCCAAAGACGAACAGAAAUUUAACAGCACAAGAAAAAUCUUUGGAGUGUGGAUUAAAAAUCAACCUGAAUUUGGCAA